GGGGUCGAGGUAUUCCCCUAAAUUGAUGUUUUUAACUUGGAAUUAGUGUUGAAUAAUUAUGUUCCCUCUAACCACCUGCGUAAAUGGGUUGGAAUUAUAAAUUGUCACUUAGUUUGACUUACUCACUUAUAGUAUUUCAUUACAUGAAUAGUUAAAUAGUGAAUAUGGAUUUUGAAGGCCUUGUUGGAUGUAUUUUAACUCAAAUUUAAACCAUGGAG
rnacentral:lncRNA from 1 species